AUGAACGCUGGCGGCGUGCCUAAUACAUGCACGUCGAGCGAACAGACGAGGAGCUUGCUCCUCUGACGUUAGCGGCGGACGGGUGAGUAACACGUGGAUAACCUACCUAUAAGACUGGGAUAACUUCGGGAAACCGGAGCUAAUACCGGAUAAUAUAUUGAACCGCAUGGUUCAAUAGUGAAAGACGGUUUUGCUGUCACUUAUAGAUGGAUCCGCGCCGCAUUAGCUAGUUGGUAAGGUAACGGCUUACCAAGGCAACGAUGCGUAGCCGACCUGAGAGGGUGAUCGGCCACACUGGAACUGAGACACGGUCCAGACUCCUACGGGAGGCAGCAGUAGGGAAUCUUCCGCAAUGGGCGAAAGCCUGACGGAGCAACGCCGCGUGAGUGAUGAAGGUCUUCGGAUCGUAAAACUCUGUUAUUAGGGAAGAACAAAUUUGUAAGUAACUAUGCACGUCUUGACGGUACCUAAUCAGAAAGCCACGGCUAACUACGUG
rnacentral:rRNA from 1 species